rnacentral:rRNA from 1 species
UACGGAGGGUGCGAGCGUUGUCCGGAAUCACUGGGCGUAAAGGGCGCGUAGGUGGCGACUCAAGUCAACGGUGAAAGCUCGACGCUCAACGUCGAGUCGGCCGUCGAAACUGGGACGCUUGAGCACUGUAGAGGCAGAUGGAAUUCCGGGUGUAGCGGUGGAAUGCGUAGAGAUCCGGAAGAACACCCGUGGCGAAGGCGGCGUGCUGGGUUGCAACUGACGC